UGCCUGCCCUUAGUUCUGACCAUUUCUGAACCUGUCUUUCAUACUGUUUCCAAUUCAAUGGAGAAUAUCUCAAAUCUUGCAAUUCCACCUCCCUUGGCUUAUAACAUGAUUAAAAAGUCGAGUCUUGACAGUAGAUCCUCUCGCUCUGCAGUAUAUUCUCUUGGGCAAAAUAUCAAAUCAACAGACUCGAAAGCUUUGAGUAGAUGAUUCAAACUAUUGAAAGCUGACGAUGAAACAGUGUCUUACUAAUUGGUUACACUCUCCAUUGGUUGCUAUAGGGUUGGAAUGUGCCUAUAUGUUUAUUAAGUCAUUUACGCAAUGUAACCUAUCUUUACCUAUACAAAAAAUUUGUAGACUGAGUUACUCAUUUAGGUUUUUGGUUGCUCUUUUUUUUUUUUUGGGAUAACCGCGGUGUCCGGGCCAGCUUGCGCGUACCUCGACUAAUUCCACGGGAUACCUCCCACCUCGCAUCUCCCACCUCUCACCAGAAACAGGUACCAGGUAACUCUAUCCACCAAGGCUUGGAUAGAUAGAAAAAACUUACCUAGUAUUUUUGCCUCCGUUGAAAUUUGAACUAAGACGUCAUGGUUCUCAUCCACUUCAUGGACCACCAGGCCACACCCUUGGGUGUAGGUUUCUGGUUGCCCUUGUAGUCAUGCGUUUUCGAUGAACCAUUUUGUUGGUAAUUUGCUACCUAAAACUACAAACUUUGAAAGUUGAAACAUCUGCAGACAUAAGUCUGCUAUGCUACUAUCUUUCUUCUUCAGUCAGCUGAUGUACAUGUGAAAAACACUACACCUGCCUGAAUUUUGCACAUCUAACUCCUCUCUGCCGUUGGACACCAACAACCAUGAAGGAUCUCUCUUUCACAUGCAAUAUAUAUUUACCAUUCUGUCAUUGUAAAUUGCAAGGUAUAAUGAAGCCUGAUGUUAUUCAAUUAUCACUUAUGCCAUUGCAGGCUUGCAGCGGUUUUACUAAGCGAUGUGGAACAGUUGGAGCUUUUCUUCUUCCUAAUCUUAGUAUGGUUAGGUUCAGGAAUGAUGGUUAGAGAUCAUGUUUCCAAUUUUGUAGUUCUGUACAUAUAGCCGGCCACGUUUAAAUGGCGUAGUCUAUUCUGAUUAUGACACUGUAUUUGCAUAUUUCUGGUGAGCUAAUGGACGACACUGGAAUUCUGGAACUUACACCAGCUAUGCUUUGGCUACCGAGCUUGUAAAACGAAAUUGCUCACUUCUAGCUCUAUUUAAUGUCUUUUUGAGGGGUGAAUUUCUUGACAGAUGUAACUCAUAUUCAGUAAGUGAGCAAGACUAGUAAAAGGCCCUUUGCUUGUCGC
rnacentral:lncRNA from 1 species